GGGAAUGUGGCUCAGUGGUAGAGUGCUUGCCUUGCAUGCAUAAGGCCCUAGAUUCAAUUCCUCAAUGUACCCA
rnacentral:tRNA from 1 species